rnacentral:rRNA from 1 species
AUGGAUGACGACAUCGGACGAAAAGCAUCCACCCCAAGAAAGGAAACCAAGUCAAUGCGAACAAGAGAAGGAAUAACACACGAAAACGUUGCUGGUUAUUCCCCACCGCGGCUCCGCCCACCAAUCGUCAUCGUCGUCCUCCUCAUCCAACAGAACGUCGGCGACCACAGCACGCGACUCCUCCUGUCUGAGCGCCGGUUUAAUUUGUUCUUGCGGACCAUGGACGACGGGGACAUAGAUUUCACCAAUCCGGAGACGUAUCUUUGCCCGGCCAUGGGCACCGAUCCCCACGACAGCUGCUCCAUCUCCAUGGACAGCUACUUCGACGACUUUCUGAAAGACACGGAGACGGAGCAUCUCGCAUGUACUCACACCCACGCCUGCUGCAACUCGCAUGUACGCCAUGACCUUGCCCACCACACCCAGACCUGCAUCCAUGUCCACACCAAGAUCCUCCGGGAGGAGUCGGAUGAUGUCGCUGAGACCUCGGAGUCGCCGCAAGAGACCGACGGCCCAAAGAAGAAGCGCCCGCCGGGUAACCGGGCAGCUGUGAGGAAGUACCGUGAGAAGAAGAAGGCCCACACGACGCUGCUGGAGGAAGAGGUUGCUCGCCUCAAGGCUCUAAACAAGCAGCUCCUGAGGAGGCUUCAGAGUCACUCGGCGCUCGAGGCUGAGGCGUCCAGGCUCCGCUGCCUGCUUGUCGACAUUAGAGGGAGGAUCGAAGGAGAGCUUGGUGCUUUCCCUUACCAGCGGCCUGUGAAGAACAACGAUUCGGCUGACCAGGGAAGUUUCCUUGGUGGUGGUACCCAGCAGGUUAGGCUCACAUGCAACGAGCCGCUCUACCGCAGUCCAGAGAUGCAGGCCACGACAAUAGAUGACGAUUGUGGUACGAGUGGCGAGCUGUUGGGUCAAGCUGCCCGUGACAUUGCAAAUAACCAGUGGCUCCCAGGUUUGCCAGAUGAUGUAAAGAGGUGA